UCUAAAGCCAUAUGUAGCUAUUGUUAAAAUGCAUGAUAUAUUACUCCAGCUUUCACUUUUUAUCCAUUUCGCUAGAAAAACGUGGCUGAUAAACUGAAAUCGAUUAACUGCAGAUUGUUAAAAAAUAUGUGAUUAACAUAGAAUUGUGAGACAGUAAAUAAAAAUAGGAAUAAUAACGGAAAACAUGAAAAGUCAGUUGUGCUCAGCCAAAUGAGCAAUAACAUUAAAAAUGUUGCAAAUAAUCGCAAUAUUAAAAAAAAAAAAAAAAAAGUUUGGUAUAAGGUUGUUUUUAAUGCAUUGACGAAACAAUGGUUGAGUAUUAAUUUAAAGCGUAAAAUAAAGCAGAACUAUAUUAAAUAUUAUCCUGUGGUACAGACAAGAUAUGCUUUUGUUAUUUGAAAUGUGUUGUGUGUCUUCUGUGUGUGUGUCACACAUAAUUUGCAUAUGUCAGCAUGUGGAAUGUGAAUACAUAUGUAAUAAUUUAAGUGUUGAAGAUGGGUUAGAUGUUUAGGAGGAGUGUCAAUUCAUGAAGAGCUAGUUGUGAAAUAAUUUUGAUAGAGAGGUAGCUGAAUUUGCACAAAUUGUUGUUGAAUUGGUUGCAUCAGUAUUUUUAACGUUGAUGCCAUAUAUCUGAAGAACAAAAGUGCAGCAGCAGCAAGCUUGCAAUACGGAGGAAGGAUGUUCAAAUUACAGUUUCAAGGCCUGGAUUAGGCUGAUUCAAUUUUUAUUCAGCUUAAUUCUUAUUGGUUCCUUAAAUUUCAAUUUGCAGAUUUUAAUAUUAUGAUUGCCUGAAGAGUUAUUAAGUCCCUGCAUCAUUUGCGUUACAUAAAAAUUGUGUGAGAGAGAUUAAUUUUGAAAUCGUAUGAAAGUGAAUAAUUUUGAAAUAGUUUAGAGAGGUUUAAUAUAAGCAGCUAUUAUUUUUAGGAGACAGAAAGGGGAAACGACCAAAUUAAAAACGAGUUAAAGUUAAAAUUUUUUGCAUGUGCAUAUAUUUGUAAAGAUCUAGAUAAGCUGUUAGUACAAACAAAAUUUUUAGUGUUCAUAAUAUAUGUGAUGUUAAAUUUAAUAUAUAUUCCUUAACAAUUCCCUUAACAGUGGCCCUGAUUUAAAGAUAAUUUUUCUUUAUUCGUCAGCAGUCACUAAAUUUCUAUGUGAUAUUAUUUCAGGCUUGAGUGCAUUUCGAAUUACCAAAGAAUCAUUGAAUUGUGUAAUGAAAUAUAAAACUAUGAGAAAUACUCAUAUCUGAAUCUUUUUCUCUUAAACUUUCAAAUAUAAUGCUUUCUGAUUUAAAGGUCUGCGCAUGUAUAAACGUCCUAUAAGCAGAAAAUUGAUAUUGGAAAACAGUAAUAAUUACUUAGCUAUCCUUUUUCUAGCAAGGCUAGAAAUUUUUUGAUACAGCACUUUUAAAACUGAAAAUGCACACUAAAAUCUUGUGUGCAUUAUCCUUAUUUCCCCUUACAAGUUCUGAUGUUACUGGUUUAUUUUGGUUUAGUUGAUUGUGGUGACGCACACUAGGGGUAUUUCCCAAAGAGUAGGGAUGCCUUCGUGAAGGACUUUCUAAGUUGAUGUUGCUGAAUAUGGCAGCAUCUAUGAUUUCUUAGUUGUUGAAAUUUUUUUAUCUUAAUAUAUGUUUGUAUGAUUUAAGAUUUUUUUUAAAAAUCUUUUCUGUUAGAUGACUGGAAACGUGGAUUCUGUAUUAGGCAAAGUUAUUGAUUCAAUAUUUCUUUAGCAGGUCUGCAUUGAGAUGGAACAGGCUGUGCAGGAGUUUAAAGAUUUAGAUAUUUUACGUCAAAUAACUGUGAUUUUGAUUUAACCACGGUCAUUAUACCAAGUUAUCAGAAGUUGACUGUACUUCAUGAAGUGAUGAUCUGUGUUCAAGACAUUUUAGCACUACUAAAAGGAAGUUAAGAAGAAAUUGUGAUUGAAUUCUGGGAAAUACUGUAUAUUAACAAACUCAAAUAAUAUGUAAUAGGGAGUGCAGGACUUCUACUCUACUGACACAAAUAGACUGUCUCAUCCAGGAAGUUCCUAAAGAAAUUGGUCUUAACAUUAUGGAUGAGUUAGCACAGACUGAACCAGUUCUUAGUGAUGAUGUUGCAUCAUCAUCAGCAACAACUGAUAGGUGAGCUCAUGAAGAUGCACUUACUAGCAGAUUGAAAAACUUUGUUAUUUACUUUUUAUAUUUUAACAUCUUGUUCAUGAAUAUUUUUUAAAAUUAUAAUUGUUCCUCUCUUUAGCUAAAUACAUGAAGUGUUUUCGAUUUUCGUUAACUAAUUUAGAAUUUCCCUUACCUCUGUGGUUUAAGAUUUAGGUAAUUUAUCAAAACCUUGAAACAACUUUGAAAACCUUGAAACUUUCAAACCUUGAAAUUCCAUCAUACAUUAUUUUUCUAUCCUUAAGCUUGUAAUUGAGGAGGUAUCUGGUUUAGUAGCAACUAAACUAAUCUCUUCACAUGUUGCUCAUACUUAAGUUAGAUAAUACAAUUAACUUAAUUCAGUUUCAGCAAGGAGCCUUAUGGCAAUAUUAACCACACUCUCUUAGGCUGUAUUACUCUGCAUAACAAUUUAAACAAAUUCGCAUCACAUAUUCUAACAACACUGCAUUUAGGUUUAACAUCUAACUUGGCAUAUUAAAUUCUGAACUGAGAUCUUAAAGACUUAAUGGAUUUCAAGAAGCAUCUGGAAUGCAGACAUUCUGAAAUAUAGCUGUUUUUCUCAAUGCCAUAUGCCAACAGUUUUACUGAAAUUGUGCCAUGACCAUAUUCUUUUAUUGUUGAACUGUUUUCAAACUCAAACUUUUAUUUAACAUUCAUACUAUCUUCAACCAAUAAUUUUCUGGCCUCACUAUGGCCAAGUGGUUAAGAGUGCUGAACACUGAUAGUUUGACCUGAUUUGGUUUUGAUCCCAGGUAAGAAGGCUGGUUGUGUGGUUGGUUUUCUUCAUGUGUAACAUGAUUAUGAGCCAGUUUUUCUUAAGUGCCUCUGCAAAGGCAUUCCGCUUCUUAGGAGAUAGCCCUUGUGAUCCAUAUUCAAGUUCGUCUAACCUAACCAAUACUUUAUGUUAGUAAUGUAUUUAGUGAUGUUGGCUGCUGUAUUGUUGUGCCAAUGUUUGAAUCCCAGAGAAGGCUGGAUGUUUUUGUCAAUGUGGCAUGGAAGCGCUUAAAAUUCUGGUGAGCCAAAAGCAGUUCUGAAGUAGAGAAAAAGGGGGAAGACCUUCAGAUCUCUCCUCCAGUGUGAUUUCCCUUGGAAUUGAGGCUGAGCUAUGUAGGUAGUGUGAUGGGACUACACCUAUAUAGCUAGUGGUAAUUCUUGUGUCUUGCUUCUUCUACUUGUACCUUUUAGCAAUAUGUUGUAUACCUCCAGUAUCUCUAACUCACGUAUCAUAACUUUCUGAAGGUCAAGCACUUAAAAAUGUAUCUCUCCUUUCAUUGUCAUGCUCAUCAUUAGUUUAAUGUUUCUAAAAUUUACAAUCCUGUGUCAAGUGUCCUCUUUUUCCACUCUGAAAAAAUUUCUAUUAUGCCUCAUGUCUGUUUGGACUUCUGCCUCAUUUUGAUUUACAUCUUCUUCCUGAAUUAAAAAUAUGACAUUUUCCAAGAUUAGCUUUGGUUAUAAGCUCAAGUUAAUUUUCUGUGGAGGAUUGUGAGGGUCUUCUCUGCUGUUCGAAGCUAAACCUUCCUUUAGUUCUGUCAGUGUAUGCUUCGCUUCUGGUUGUACACAUCAAGCCAUUUUUAAUGGUUCAGAAUCACUGGAUAGUGUUUCUAAAAGUUUGGUCAUAAUAAAUUACUCGGUUUAAUGGCUGAAUCAUGCAUCUGUAGUAUAAGAUGCUCUAAUUUUGCUAUGUGUAUGGCCAUUGUAUCUGUUGGAUCACGUAUGAACAAUAAGAACUGCAAUUAACAUGUAUAUUGUGCUUGCACGUUUUGCUGUUCAAACAACUUGCAUAGUUUCAACCAUAUUUCUCAAGCCAUUCUACUUAUGAUUAAAAAUUCUCAUGCUUUUUACUCUGUGAUUAUAAAAAUAUGUUUAUCAUGUUUCCCUAUGUAUAAAAUAUAAAUUGAAAGAAGUGUAAAACUUUUGGGUACCAAAAGAUGUGAUGACACUUGUAAUUUUAUAGCAACAGAAAAGUAGUUCAAAUGUGUGGUUGUUGCAGUAGCAUUUUUUUAUUCAUUCUUGAAACAUUAGUACUUUCUUGUUAUUUACUAUUAAACUGUUUUUUCUUGUUCAAGCGUUACAUGAGGGGCUUAUCCAAAUGAUUACUCCAGCUUUGCAGAAAUGUAUUUCUACAACUUUUUUUUUGUAGUCUGUACACUUAGCUUUUGUUUCAUAUAUACUGUGAUUGCUUGGUUUGGGCAUAUUUUAUUAUGCUGCAUACAUAAAUUUUCCAUAGCUAGUAAACUGAUCUUUCAUAGCAAACAGGAAUUCUAAAGUUAUCAGUUAUUUGAAACAAAAUGUAUUAUGCAAAGCAUAUGUUGAAUUAUAUUCUGCUAGUGAAGAUGGAAUUUUUUUGCAUUUUAAGUAUUUAACUUGAUUGUUUCAUAUAGCAUCUGAAGUAAUCUUCUUUUCAUGGAUUAUAUUUAAUAUAUUUUCAUAUAUCAUCUGGUGUAUGUCUUAUUUUCAUGGAUUAUAUUUAAUAAAACUUUUUUUAUGAGCUGUAUCAAUCAGCUGCUGCAUAGCUUACAUUAAAAUUUUAGAAAGAAUAAGUUGUACCAAAUUAAAAACCUUGCAAUUAGCAUCAUGUAUAUGUUGCAUAAUUAAAUGUCUUUCAUCUAUACUGUUUGCAUGCACUAGUUGAAAUGUCUGUUGUUCUGUUAAUGUUAAUAACUUUUAACUUCUAGUACCAGUGCAUUAUGAACAUAUCUGGUGUAGAAUACACAUACUUUAAUAUGUGUGUUCUAAAUGGGACUGUCAUAACUUCACGAAAUAUAUACGAUUCACUGUUUAUAUUUGUAAGACGAGGCAUAUGUCAUUUUUCCUGUUGCUGCAAUUCAGCAAACUAGUAUAUUUUGACUAAACAAGACAGUUUCAACAUUUUCCUGAAAUUGCACUGCAAAAUGAGUUAUUGUUUAAGAUUAAAAGAAGGGAAGAAGAUGCUAUUAUCAAAAUAGAAGAAGAAGGGAGAUGCUAUUAUCAAAGAUAUAAUAUGUAGAGUAUGUAGCUUUAUAUUGCUAGUUUUGGAAAUAUGAAAAAAUCUUUCAUCCAUUUCUUCAUAUUGCAUGAAUGGAAUUUUUACUCUCAUGUAAUCACUUUACAUAGUUCCCUUUAUGAUUCACAUUUUCAGGCCUCGCAUUCAAACAUGUCAUUCAAAUAAUUUGUGCAUCUGUUAUUCAGUUUUAUAUGCUGAAGUUGAGAAAAUUAAACAUUUUAAGAUUUUCUUAUGCCAUAAUUUAUAAUAUUGCUUUGUUUUUGGUUUUGCAUACCUAAGACAUGUGAUGAAUUGUGCUGUACAUUUUUAAAUGAUAAAAGUAGAGGCUAACCAGCUUUUAUUUGUUUUCACUCAUUUUGUUUGUUGAACCUGCAUAGAUUAAAUACACAUGUACAUAGAAAGUUCAGUAUAUGUGCAUUAAAGUUUAUUGCGGUUUAGGUUGGUGUAAAAAAUUUGCUACAGCAAGAUUAUCAGAUUAAAGCUGCAAAGUAUUUAAAACUUCGAAAAAUACCUUUAUUAAAAUUGUUUUUAAAAUAUGGUAUGAAACCUGAGAAUUGCUUCCAGCAUGAGGUAUUUAAUUAAUUAUUAUUAUUUUUUUUUUUGUGGGGGGAGGUCUAUUUAGGCUUGUUUGCUUUGAAGAAUUAGGUCAUGCACUUCAGAAAUUACUUUUUGGAAACAAAUAUCAAUGUCUUUAUCCAGAACUUGUUCUUUAUAUAAUUUGUCUUAAUGUCUCAGAAAUUUUGAAAGAACUCUUACCUUUAUUGACUUGCACCGUCUAAAUUUGCUACUUUUAAAAAUAAAAAUUUCUUCUUAAUUUACUUUUUGCAAAAUACAUUUGCUAAUCAUUUAAAUUAUUCAGAUCAUAUAAUAAGUUGUUAUAGUGCAAGUCUGCAUGUAUUUAUCAUCUUUCUUUCAUAAAUAGUAAACUGAAUUUUACCGAAGUGCAUCAUCUUUAUUAAUUUGAGUUACUUUCAAAUUAUGCUGUGUAGAAUGUUUUUAAAAAUAAAUUAUUUCUAGUAAAAAAUUUCAGUUGAAAUGUAUAAAUUAAAAUAAACUUAAAAUUGUGUAUGUUAUGUAUAUUACUGAAAAUCAAAAUGCAUUUUUCUGUAAAAUUGUAAUUUGUAAUAUUUAAAAUUAUAUGUCAAAGCAUUAAAAAUGUUUUAUUUUGUUCUACAUGAGGUGAUAAUAAAAGAAAUUCAAACUCUUUCUUCGUAAUUGUUGAUUUCUAGUUGUGUAAGCAAUUUUAUUGAUUAAAAAAUUUCAAAUUGUUAUUUCCAUUUGGUGUAUGAUGUUUCUAAUAUUAUAAUGAGAAACUAAUUGUGAGAUAGUUCAUGCAUGAUUUCCAUGAGCCUUUGUGUUCCUUUGUGGUCUUAUUUUUCGCUCUUUUGUGAUAAUAAAUAUUCAUAUCAAAUGUAGUUAUUUA